AUUGAACGCUGGCGGCAGGCCUAACACAUGCAAGUCGAACGAGUGGCGGACGGGUGAGUAAUGUCUGUGAAACUGGCCGAUGGAGGGGGAUAACUACUGCAAACGGUAGCUAAUCCCCCGUACCAUCGGAUGUGCCCCGAUGGGAUUAGCUUGUAGGUGAGGUAACGGCUCACCUAGGCGACGCUCCCUAGAUGGUCUGGGGGGAUGACCAGCCACACUGGAAUUUAGUCACGGGACAGACUCCUACGGUAGGCAGCAGUGGGGAAUAUUGCACAAGGGGCGCAAGCCUGAUGCAGCCAUGCCGCGUGUAUGAAGAAGGCCUUCGGGUUGUAAAGUACUUUAAGCGGGGAGGCGUUACCCGCAGAAGAAGCACCGGCUAACUCCGUGCCAGCAGCCGCGGUAAUUC
rnacentral:rRNA from 1 species